rnacentral:rRNA from 1 species
UGGGGAAUAUUGCACAAUGGGCGAAAGCCUGAUGCAGCAACGCCGCGUGAGUGAUGAAGGUCUUCGGAUUGUAAAGCUCUGUCUUUUGGGACGAUAAUGACGGUACCAAAGGAGGAAGCCACGGCUAACUACGUGCCAGCAGCCGCGGUAAUACGUAGGUGGCGAGCGUUGUCCGGAUUUACUGGGCGUAAAGGGUGCGUAGGCGGAUGUUUAAGUGAGAUGUGAAAUACCCGGGCUUAACUUGGGUGCUGCAUUUCAAACUGGAUAUCUAGAGUGCAGGAGAGGAGAAUGGAAUUCCUAGUGUAGCGGUGAAAUGCGUAGAGAUUAGGAAGAACACCAGUGGCGAAGGCGAUUCUCUGGACUGUAACUGACGCUGAGGCACGAAAGCGUGGGUAGCAAACAGGAUUAGAUACCCUGGUAGUCCACGCCGUAAACGAUGAGUACUAGGUGUAGGAGGUAUCGACCCCUUCUGUGCCGCAGUAAACACAUUAAGUACUCCGCCUGGGAAGUACGAUCGCAAGAUUAAAACUCUAAAGUGAAUUGA